GACGAACGCUGGCGGCGUGCUUAACACAUGCAAGUCGAGCGGAAAGGCCACUUCGGUGGUACUCGAGCGGCGAACGGGUGAGUAACACGUGAGUAAUCUGCCCCUGGCUUUGGGAUAGCCACCGGAAACGGUGAUUAAUACCGGAUAUGACACAUUCUCGCAUGAGUUUGUGUGGAAAGUUUUUCGGCCAGGGAUGUGCUCGCGGCCUAUCAGCUUGAUGGUGAGGUAAUGGCUCACCAUGGCUUCGACGGGUAGCCGGCCUGAGAGGGUGACCGGUCACACUGGGACUGAGACACGGCCCAGACUCCUACGGGAGGCAGCAGUGGGGAAUAUUGGACAAUGGGCGGAAGCCUGAUCCAGCAACGCCGCGUGAGGGGUGACGGCCUUCGGGUUGUAAACCUCUUUCAGUACCGACGAAGCGCAAGUGACGGUAGGUACAGAAGAAACACCGGCCAACUACGU
rnacentral:rRNA from 1 species